UGGUAGUAGCAAUACAAACCAUAGGCGAACGGGUGAGGUAACACGUAGGUAACCUAGUCUUUAAGACGAGGAUAACCAUUGGAAACGAUGGAUAAUACUGGAUAGGACAUCACAAAGGGCAUCCUUAGAUGUUUAAAGAUUAUUAUGUCACUUAGAGAGGGGCCUGCGGCGCAUUAGCUAGUUGGUGAGGUAAGAGCCCACCAAGGCGGUGAUGCGUAGCCGGACUGAGAGGUUGAACGGCCACAAUGGAACUGAGAACGGUCCAUACUCCUACGGGAGGCAGCAGUAGGGAAUUUUCGGCAAUGGGCGCAAGCCUGACCGAGCAACGCCGCGUGAACGAAGAAGUUAUUCGUAAUGUAAAGUUCUUUUAUCUGGGAAGAAAAACAAAUUGACGGUACCAGAUGAAUAAGCUCCGGCUAACUACGUGCCAGCCGCCGC
rnacentral:rRNA from 1 species